GGGGGCGAUCUGGAAUCGACCGGAUAAAUUGAAGAUCUUGGUGGCAUGUCGUGGUUGAUCGGUUGGCCACGUUAAAAGCCGAUUACAAAAAGUAACUGCUGAGGAAAACCUCGCACUAGCAGCCUAAUAUUGGCAGCUCAGGUACCAGAUGCCCGUCGGAGGCGUUUGAAUACCUGUCGCAAUUCCGAAUCGCAUUGAGCCGUGCCUCGCACGUUCAGUGUUAAAAAAGCUCGAGGCUGGCGCAACGCACCGCGGUCGACGACGAACGCGUUGGGCGAGACAAACAACAGUUGGCUAAACAUGUAGAGGCCGGAUCGGAAGUAUCGCGGGACGGGGGUUCAAUUCCCCCCGCCUCCAUUA
rnacentral:tmRNA from 1 species